ACGAACGCUGGCGGCGUGCCUAAUACAUGCAAGUCGCACGAGAGCGACCGGUGCUUGCACUGGUCAAUCUAGUGGCGAACGGGUGAGUAACACGUGGGUAACCUGCCCAUCAGAGGGGGAUAACAUCCGGAAACGGAUGCUAAAACCGCAUAGGUCUUCGAGCCGCAUGGCUUGAAGAGGAAAAGAGGCGCAAGCUUCUGCUGAUGGAUGGACCCGCGGUGCAUUAGCUAGUUGGUGAGGUAACGGCUCACCAAGGCCGUGAUGCAUAGCCGACCUGAGAGGGUGAUCGGCCACAUUGGGACUGAGACACGGCCCAAACUCCUACGGGAGGCAGCAGUAGGGAAUCUUCCGCAAUGGACGCAAGUCUGACGGAGCAACGCCGCGUGAGUGAAGAAGGUUUUCGGAUCGUAAAACUCUGUUGUUAGAGAAGAACAAGUGCUAGAGUAACUGUUAGCGCCUUGACGGUAGCUAACCAGAAAGCCACGGCUAACUACGUG
rnacentral:rRNA from 1 species